ACUCCUACGGGAGGCAGCAGCCAGGAAUCUUGGGCAAUGGGCGCAAGCCUGACCCAGCAACACCGUGUGGGCGAUGAAGGCCUUCGGGUCGUAAAGCCCUGUUGAUAGGGACGAAGGGCGAAGGGUUAAUAGCCCCUAGCUUGACGGUACCUUUCGAGGAAGCCCCGGCUAACUACGUGCCAGCAGCCGCGGUAAUACGUAGGGGGCGAGCGUUGUCCGGAUUUAUUGGGCGUAAAGAGCGUGUAGGCGGUUCGGUAAGUCUGUCGUGAAAUCCUGAGGCUCAACCUUGGGCGUGCGAUGGAUACUGCCGGGCUAGAGGAUGGUAGAGGCGAGUGGAAUUCCCGGUGUAGCGGUGAAAUGCGCAGAUAUCGGGAGGAACACCAGUAGCGAAGGCGGCUCGCUGGGCCAUUCCUGACGCUGAGACGCGAAAGCUAGGGGAGCGAACAGGAUUAGAUACCCUGGUAGCUACGAGU
rnacentral:rRNA from 1 species